UACGUAGGGUGCAAGCGUUGUCCGGAAUUAUUGGGCGUAAAGAGCUCGUAGGCGGUCUGUCACGUCGGGCGUGAAAAUCCAGGGCUUAACCCUGGACCUGCGUUCGAUACGGGCAGACUAGAGUUCGGUAGGGGAGACUGGAAUUCCUGGUGUAGCGGUGAAAUGCGCAGAUAUCAGGAGGAACACCGGUGGCGAAGGCGGGACUCUGGGCCGAUACUGACGCUGAGGAGCGAAAGCGUGGGGAGCGAACAGG
rnacentral:rRNA from 1 species